ACCGAAAUAGCUCAGUUGAGAGAAAGUUAGACUAUAGAUCGAAAAGUCCCUGGUUCGAUCCCGGGUUCCGGCA
rnacentral:tRNA from 1 species